CACGGGGGGAGCAAGCGUUGUUCGGAAUUAUUGGGAGUAAAGCGCGUGUAGGCGGCUUGGUAGGUCAGCUGUGAAAACUCGAGGCUCAACCUCGAGAUGUCGGUUGAAACCACCUUGCUAGAGUCCGGAAGAGGAGAGUGGAAUUCCUGGUGUAGCGGUGAAAUGCGCAGAUAUCAGGAAGAACACCAAUGGCGAAGGCAGCUCUCUGGGACGGUACUGACGCUGAGACGCGAAAGCGUGGGGAGCGAACAGG
rnacentral:rRNA from 1 species